rnacentral:rRNA from 1 species
GACGAACGCUGGCGGCGUGCCUAAUACAUGCAAGUAGAACGCACAUUUAUACCGUAGCUUGCUACACCAUAGACUGUGAGUUGCUAACGGGUGAGUAACUCGUAUGUAACCUGCCUGGUAGCGGGGGAUAACUAUUGGAAACGAUAGCUAAUACCGCAUAAUAUUAAUUAUUGCAUGAUAAUUAAUUGAAAGGUGCAAUUGCACCACUACCAGAUGGACCUGCGUUGUAUUAGCUAGUAGGUGAGGUAACGGCUCACCUAGGCGACGAUACAUAGCCGACCUGAGAGGGUGAUCGGCCACACUGGGACUGAGACACGGCCCAGACUCCUACGGGAGGCAGCAGUAGGGAAUCUUCGGGAAUGGACGGAAGUCUGACCGGGCAACGCCGCGUGAGUGAAGAAGGUUUUCGGAUCGGAAAGCUCUGUUGUAAGAGAAGAAAGGGUGUGAGAGUGGAAAGUUCACACUGUGACGGUAUCUUACCAGAAAGAGACGGCUAACUACGUG